rnacentral:rRNA from 1 species
AGCAGCCGCGGUAAUUCCAGCUCCAAUAGCGUAUAUUAAAGUUGUUGCAGUUAAAAAGCUCGUAGUUGAACUUCGGGAUCAAUUAGUUGGUCAUGCCUUGGUAUGUACUGAUUUUAUUGGUUCUCACCUUCUAAAGAACUAUAAUGUCAUUUAUUUGAUGUUAUAGGGAAUUAGGACUGUUACCUUGAAAAAAUUAGAGUGUUUAAAGCAGGCUCACGCUUGAAUACAUUAGCAUGGAAUAAUGAAAUAGGACAUCGCAUUCUAUUUUGUUGGUUUCUAGGAUCGAUGUAAUGAUUAAUAGGGAUAGUUGGGGGCAUUAGUAUUCAAUUGUCAGAGGUGAAAUUCUUGGAUUUAUUGAAGACUAACUACUGCGAAAGCAUUUGCCAAGGAUGUUUUCAUUAAUCAAGAACGAAAGUUAGGGGAUCGAAGACGAUCAGAUACCGUCGUAGUCUUAACCAUAAACUAUGCCGACUAGGGAUCGGAUGAUGUUGAUUUUUAAUGUACU